rnacentral:rRNA from 1 species
CCUACGGGAGGCAGCAGUAGGGAAUCUUCCACAAUGGGCGAAAGCCUGAUGGAGCAACGCCGCGUGGGUGAAGAAGGUCUUCGGAUCGUAAAACCCUGUUGUUAGAGAAGAAAGUGCGUGAGAGUAACUGUUCACGUUUCGACGGUAUCUAACCAGACAGCCACGGCUAACUACGUGCCAGCAGCCGCGGUAAUACGUAGGUGGCAAGCGUUAUCCGGAUUUAUUGGGCGUAAAGGGAACGCAGGCGGUCUUUUAAGUCUGAUGUGAAAGCCUUCGGCUUAACCGGAGUAGUGCAUUGGAAACCGGGAGACUUGAGUGCAGAAGAGGAGAGUGGAACUCCAUGUGUAGCGGUGAAAUGCGUAGAUAUAUGGAAGAACACCAGUGGCGAAAGCGGCUCUCUGGGCUGUAACUGACGCUGAGGUUCGAAAGCGUGGGUAGCAAACAGGAUUAGAUACCCCGGUAGUC